AGAGUUUGAUCCUGGCUCAGAGCGAACGCUGGCGGCAGGCCUAACACAUGCAAGUCGAACGAACUCUUCGGAGUUAGUGGCGGACGGGUGAGUAACACGUGGGAACGUGCCUUUAGGUUCGGAAUAACUCAGGGAAACUUGUGCUAAUACCGAAUGUGCCCUUCGGGGGAAAGAUUUAUCGCCUUUAGAGCGGCCCGCGUCUGAUUAGCUAGUUGGUGAGGUAAAGGCUCACCAAGGCGACGAUCAGUAGCUGGUCUGAGAGGAUGAUCAGCCACAUUGGGACUGAGACACGGCCCAAACUCCUACGGGAGGCAGCAGUGGGGAAUCUUGCGCAAUGGGCGAAAGCCUGACGCAGCCAUGCCGCGUGAAUGAUGAAGGUCUUAGGAUUGUAAAAUUCUUUCACCGGGGACGAUAAUGACGGUACCCGGAGAAGAAGCCCCGGCUAACUUCGUGCCAGCAGCCGCGGUAAUACGAAGGGGGCUAGCGUUGCUCGGAAUUACUGGGCGUAAAGGGAGCGUAGGCGGACAUUUAAGUCAGGGGUGAAAUCCCGGGGCUCAACCUCGGAAUUGCCUUUGAUACUGGGUGUCUUGAGUAUGAGAGAGGUAUGUGGAACUCCGAGUGUAGAGGUGAAAUUCGUAGAUAUUCGGAAGAACACCAGUGGCGAAGGCGACAUACUGGCUCAUUACUGACGCUGAGGCUCGAAAGCGUGGGGAGCAAACAGGAUUAGAUACCCUGGUAGUCCACGCCGUAAACGAUGAUUGCUAGUUGUCGGGAUGCAUGCAUUUCGGUGACGCAGCUAACGCAUUAAGCAAUCCGCCUGGGGAGUACGGUCGCAA
rnacentral:rRNA from 1 species